AACGAACGCUGGCGGCAGGCCUAACACAUGCAAGUCGAGCGCGCCUUCGGGUGAGCGGCGGACGGGUUAGUAACGCGUGGGAACGUGCCCUUCUCUACGGAAUAGCCUCUGGAAACGGAGAGUAAUACCGUAUACGCCCUUUGGGGGAAAGAUUUAUCGGAGAAGGAUCGGCCCGCGUUAGAUUAGGUAGUUGGUGGGGUAACGGCCUACCAAGCCUACGAUCUAUAGCUGGUUUUAGAGGAUGAUCAGCAACACUGGGACUGAGACACGGCCCAGACUCCUACGGGAGGCAGCAGUGGGGAAUCUUAGACAAUGGGGGCAACCCUGAUCUAGCCAUGCCGCGUGAGUGA
rnacentral:rRNA from 1 species